rnacentral:lncRNA from 1 species
GAGGCCAGUGCAGGCUCCUCUGCCUCCUACCGCCCAGGGCAAGCUUAGGAGGUGUCCUAAACCUGCCUAAAUUGCCAGGGCAACUGUGAGGCAAUGCACAGAAGCUCACUCGGCCACAGGGUGAUACAGUGGACCCACGCAGAGCCAAGGAAGCUGCACAGGGACAAGGGCUGAUGAUAUUGAAAGUUCAUAUGGAUCAGGUGAUUUCACUGUGAAAGGCUUCCUCCACAGACUGAGCAUCAUCAAUGACUGGGCAAAAUUCCACUGGGCUCUUCUAGACUUUUUCCAAGGACUAUUUCUGGAAACAAACUUCAACAUUCCCAGGUUUCAAGCUUUGAGUAUUUCUGCAUUGACAGUUGCAACCGAUUAAUUCCAUUGGAUGGUUUCUUGUUCUGAAGUUAAAAUUUCAAAGUAUCUGAUCCUGGCUUAAUGUCACUCAAGAACUUACAAAAGCAAAGUUAAAACCUGCCCUUCUAACAAACUGCUUAUUUAGGCUUUUGUGAAAUAUACUUUUAUUUAAUUCC